GACGAACGCUGGCGGCGUGCUUAACACAUGCAAGUCGAACGGAAAGGCCCUGCUUUUGUGGGUUUCUCGAGUUGCGAACGGGUGAGUAACACGUGCGUAACCUGCCCUUGACUUUGGGAUAACUUCAUGAAACUGGGGCUAAUACCGGAUAGGAGCUCCUUCUGCAUGGUGGGGGUUGGAAAGUUUCGGCGGUUUGGGAUGGACUCUCGGCUUAUCAGCUUGUUGGUGGGGUAGUGGCUUACCAAGGCUUUGACGGGUAGCCGGCCUGAGAGGGUGACCGGCGACAUUGGGACUGAGAUACGGCCCAGACUGCUACGGGAGGCAGCAGUGGGGAAUAUUGCAGAAUGGGCGGAAGCCUGAUGCAGCAACGCCGCGUGCGGGAUGACGGCCUUCGGGGUGUAAACCGCUUUCGCAUGUGACGAAGCGUGAGUGACGGUAAUGGGUAAAGAAGCACCGGCUAACUACGUG
rnacentral:rRNA from 1 species